rnacentral:rRNA from 1 species
UACAGAGGUCUCAAGCGUUGUUCGGAUUCAUUGGGCGUAAAGGGUGCGUAGGCGGCGGGGCAAGUCUGAUGUGAAAUCCCGGGGCUCAACCCCGGAACUGCAUUGGAUACUGCCUUGCUCGAGUACUGGAGAGGGAACUGGAAUUUACGGUGUAGCAGUGAAAUGCGUAGAGAUCGUAAGGAAGGCCAGUGGCGAAGGCGAGUUCCUGGACAGUUACUGACGCUGAGGCACGAAGGCCAGGGGAGCAAACGGG